GCAGCCGGAGGUGGCAGAGCGCUGGGGACAGGCAGGGACCGACCUUUCCUGUUGGAACAGGAACGAGCACUGCAGAGCCAGGAUCCGGGGGGGCAGAGGGAGCUAGGGGUGAGGAUGAAGAGUGGUGGUACGUGCACAGAUGCACCUGAGCCUCAGGAGUACAGGCAGAAGUCAGGGAAAAAAAAUAAAGGUAUUUUUUUGCUUAAGAAAGCAUGGGACCUGCUAAAGGCACUUUGUUUUUCCCCUCCAGCAAGAGCAGGGAACAGACAAGAUGGCCAGGGACAAGAUCUGUUAAAGGCAAGGCUUCAUCACAGCUCAGAAGUGCUGAGCAGCCCUUGCUUUACUUCAGAGAUUGCAGGAAAGCCCAGUGCUUGGCAACUCUGGGUCAGGUGGUUCUGAAUCCUUUGGAGAAGCCGCAGCCAAGCCAGGAUGGUUGGGAGUGGAAAUCCCAGUGGGAAGAGGAACAGAAACAGCACCACUUUGUUUUGGUUGUGGUUUGUUGUAUGAAAGUGAUGAUCAGAUGAUUCCACACCAUUGCUAAAUGUGAAAUAUUAGGUCACUGCUGGAGAAAGCUCUUGAGACAGAUGGUUUCAGAACAAUGAAACUUCAGUGCUCUUUUCUAGCAUCAAGGUCAAGAGAUUUUCUGGGAUCAGGAGCUGAACUUCUGGUCAUUGCCAGCCAGUGAAGGAGCAAAGGCUGGCACCAAACAGCAGGACAGAGGUACCAGACCCACCCAGCUGCUCCCUGCCUCAUCCCUCACUGGCAGAAGAGCCAGGAACUCCCCUGGUUCUGUCACUGGAGAUCAGCAUCUCCCUGAAUUCUGUCACUGGCAGUGACCAGGGCACAUGAAGCUGGUUCUUUACUCCCCUUGGCUGGAAGGUUUUGCUGUGGGGAGCAGCUCAGCUCCAUGAGAACAGGCUGCUGGUGUGUGGUCCUGAAGGAUCUUCAUGUUCAGGAAGCUUCUCUCCCUUCCAAGGGGUUUUACCCUGGGAGUCAGAGCCACAGCCAGCAUGGCUGGUUCAGAGGCUUCACUGGCAAUUCCUUAAUGACCAUUGAGGAGAACAAAGCUAAGUUUAGUGCUUUAGAUGUGAGCAGGGAGGGCUAAUCAGGGCAGAGGAAUCCAAUUGUGGUUAAAGCACCCAUUUGCAUUCUUUUCGAGAUUUGCCACUGAUACCCAGUUCCCAAAAAUGCUGAAGUGGGUCAUGGGAUGCCUGUAAGGAAUGGGCUGCAGAUGCCCUGAGGACAGAAUUAGUUUUAGGAGGAAGAUCAAAUGAUUGCCAGCUUUGACCUGAGGGCAGUAGUUUCAGGAGGGCUGGCAGAGGUGCCCAUCUCACCUUUCUGGAUUAACCAGCAGCACUAGGACACCUCAAAGAUCAAAGCCACCCUUGCUGAUGGAUGCAGGGCUCCCACCCACCUCCAGCAGAAGUUAAACACCACAACCAGUGGCCACCACUGGGGCAGUAACUGCUUGAACAGAGAUGUUCUAGAAAAGAGGAAAGGAAGUUUUAACUAAAACAGCUUCUCAGUAGUUCUCAGUCUUUCCACGAGGACAGAGCUCUUGGUUUCACCUGGAAGCUGUGACUUGCAGAGCAAGCAGCUCAGCACAUUUCCAUCCAGAAUUUUCAGCAGAACCAGCUUCAGAAACUGAAAUCCUUCCCAGCCAUGCACAGCUCAGGGUAGUCAUGACCACAUUUCAAGCCUUGUUAGUCUUGAGAAAUACUAAUCCAGUUUGCCAGAGCUCCCUCUGGGAGCUGGCAGAGCCCUGCAGGGACAGGGUGCUCCUGAGCAAGAGCUCUCUUGUCACACUCGCUUCUCGUGCUUCCACCAAAGGAUCACGAGAAACAACCCCGGGCAGGGCUGUCACAGGAAGGGAAUGCCCGGCUGGUCACCUGCCCCACCUGGCCCCGGGGUGUCCCCUGCCCUGGAGGAUCCAUCUGGUCCCCACCGUCCCCAAACACCAGGCUGGGCCGGGCAGGUGAAGGUGACUGCUGGGAGUCACCUCCUGUGGAUCCCCCAGCCAGGAUCCUCAGCAGACAAGAAGCAGAAAGGAGAUUUUAAAUCCCAAACUGCUCAAUGGCAGGUCAGAGAUCCAUGGAAUUACCAAGGAGCCAUCUCAAAGCUGGGAAGGAGCCUUUAGAGAAGAGUUUGAAUCCCACCAUGGAUUUGGUUAGAAAGGACCUUAAAGAUCACCUGGUUCCAAUCCCCGAGACCCUCAGCUUCCAGCUCCUGCUCUCCAGAGGGCACAGCCGGCUCCUCCAGCAGGGACCCCCAGCCAGGGGCCAGCCCUGGGGAGCCACCCCGAGCCCCCGGACAAGCCACAGAACCCCCCCAGCUCCCACACCUUGCCCAGCCCAGCCUUACCUGCCUCCUCCGCGGCCGGCACUGCUCUCAAAAACUGGUUUGAAAACAUCAAUUAAGCUUCCUGUUGUCUGUUUCCAAGAUCAGCGGGGGAGGAAACUGAGGCACAGCUUUGGGGUUGGAAGGAAUCCUCAUCCUGAGGCUGACUGAGCUGGGAAUGCUGGCUGGAAAAGCCUCUGGAGAGCUGGGACCUGGCUGAGUCUGGAAACCUCCCAGGGAUGGAGACCUCACCCAGCCUCUCUGGCUGUUGGACCCAUUGGAACAGGGAACUCAGAAAUGAGUCCUGUGUAUUUUGGAGUGCCAGCCUGACACGACCAGUGCUGCAUCCUCAGGCCUUCAGAGCACUCUCCUGGGUCAGGACAUGCUGCAGGUCUCUGCUGCUCUCCCGCUCGUCACCCCAGCAGGACCCUCCUGUCUCCUGUGCCUGCUCUGCUCCCCCAGACCUGCUCCCCUUCCAGCAGCUCACCCCAGCUCCCAGGACAGGCUGCAGGAUGGUUUCCUACAUGCCUGCUGCUCCUCCCUCUGCUGCUGUCUUGCCUGAGGUAGAGGUGAGCUGGGGUAGUGUAAUGCUGGUUGUUUUUGGUAGAUGGGAGAGGGGAUGUCACUUGGGCCUGCUAAAAGUGUCCCCUCCAUCUCCACCUGUGGUGGAGACCCCAGGUCCUUCUUCCCCAGAGCCACAGGCCUCCUUUGCACUCCCCAGCUCUGGCCAGCUUUACCCCUGUGAACUGCUGCUUGCUCAGCUUCCAUCACACAGAGCUUUGCAUGGACAGAGGGAACAUGGAAUCCAGAGAUUCCUGUAUCCCAGAGAUUCCUGUAUCCCCCAGAGAUUCCUGUAUCCCAGAGAUUCCUGUAUCCCAGAGAUUCCUGUAUCCCAGGUACAGCCUGACUGGAUCAUCCCAGAGCACGUGGGGCUGGAACAGCCCUGCACUGCAGCCCCACUGCCUCACCUGGGGGCAGGUUUCUCACUGUGCUGCGUGUGACAGGCCUGAAUCAUCACCUGUCCUUGGGAACAGCUAUGCCAGGAAUAUGUAUUUAUGUACAUAAAAGCAUAAA